rnacentral:rRNA from 1 species
AGAGACAGCAGCAGCCGCGGGAAUACAGAGGGUGCGAGCGUUAAUCGGAUUUACUGGGCGUAAAGCGUGCGUAGGCGGCUUUUUAAGUCGGAUGUGAAAUCCCUGAGCUUAACUUAGGAAUUGCAUUCGAUACUGGGAAGCUAGAGUAUGGGAGAGGAUGGUAGAAUUCCAGGUGUAGCGGUGAAAUGCGUAGAGAUCUGGAGGAAUACCGAUGGCGAAGGCAGCCAUCUGGCCUAAUACUGACGCUGAGGUACGAAAGCAUGGGGAGCAAACAGGAUUAGAUACCCCAGUAGUCCCUGUCUCUUAUAA